UUCCUACGGGAGGCAGCAGUGGGGAAUAUUGGGCAAUGGAGGAAACUCUGACCCAGCAACGCCGCGUGAAUGAUGAAGGUCUUCGGAUUGUAAAGUUCUUUUCUAAGGGAAGAAGAAAGUGACGGUACCUUAGGAAUAAGCCUCGGCUAACUACGUGCCAGCAGCCGCGGUAAUACGUAGGGGGCAAGCGUUAUCCGGAUUUACUGGGUGUAAAGGGGGCGCAGACGGCAAUGCAAGCCAGGAGUGAAAGCCCGGGGCCCAACCCCGGGACUGCUCUUGGAACUGCAUGGCUGGAGUACAGGAGG
rnacentral:rRNA from 1 species